GCGGAAGUGGUGGAAUUGGCAGACACGCAGGAUUUAGGUUCCUGUGCUCUCGGGCGUGGGGGUUCAAGUCCCCCCCUUCCGCA
rnacentral:tRNA from 1 species